GUGAGUCAUCGAAUCUUUGAACGCACAUUGCGCCCGCCAGCAUUCUGGCGGGCAUGCCUGUUCGAGCGUCAUUUCAACCCUCAAGCUCUGCUUGGUGUUGGGGCUCUACGGUUGACGUAGGCCCUUAAAGGUAGUGGCGGACCCUCUCGGAGCCUCCUUUGCGUAGUAACAUUUCGUCUCGCAUUGGGAUUCGGAGGGACUCUAGCCGUAAAACCCCCAAUUUUUCUAAGGUUGACCUCGGAUCAGGUAGGAAUACCCGCUGAACUUAAGCAUAUCAAUAAGCGGAGGA
rnacentral:misc_RNA from 1 species